rnacentral:misc_RNA from 1 species
GUUUAUUUUACCUUGUUGCUUCGGCGGGCCCGCCUUAACUGGCCGCCGGGGGGCUUACGCCCCCGGGCCCGCGCCCGCCGAAGACACCCUCGAACUCUGUCUGAAGAUUGUAGUCUGAGUGAAAAUAUAAAUUAUUUAAAACUUUCAACAACGGAUCUCUUGGUUCCGGCAUCGAUGAAGAACGCAGCGAAAUGCGAUACGUAAUGUGAAUUGCAAAUUCAGUGAAUCAUCGAGUCUUUGAACGCACAUUGCGCCCCCUGGUAUUCCGGGGGGCAUGCCUGUCCGAGCGUCAUUGCUGCCCUCAAGCACGGCUUGUGUGUUGGGCCCCGUCCUCCGAUCCCGGGGGACGGGCCCGAAAGGCAGCGGCGGCACCGCGUCCGGUCCUCGAGCGUAUGGGGCUUUGUCACCCGCUCUGUAGGCCCGGCCGGCGCUUGCCGAUCAACCCAAAUUUUUAUCCAGGUUGACCUCGGAUCAGGUAGGGAUACCCGCUGAACUU